rnacentral:rRNA from 1 species
GACGAACGCUGGCGGCGUGCUUAACACAUGCAAGUCGAGCGGUAAGGCCCUUUCGGGGGUACACGAGCGGCGAACGGGUGAGUAACACGUGGGUGACCUGCCCUCAGCUCUGGGAUAAGCCUGGGAAACCGGGUCUAAUACUGGAUAUGACUCCAUGACGCAUGUUGUGGGGUGGAAGCCUUGUGCGGCUGAGGAUGGGCCCGCGGCCUAUCAGCUUGUUGGUGGGGUGANGGCCUACCAAGGCGACGACGGGUAGCCGGCCUGAGAGGGCGACCGGCCACACUGGGACUGAGACACGGCCCAGACUCCUACGGGAGGCAGCAGUGGGGAAUCUUGCGCAAUGGGCGAAAGCCUGACGCAGCGACGCCGCGUGUGGGAUGACGG